UGCCAAGCCGCCGCGGUAACACGGGGGGCGCAAGCGUUAUUCGGAAUUAUUGGGCGUAAAGCGCGCGUAGGCGGGCUGGUCAGUUGGGGGUGAAAUCCCGAGGCUCAACCUCGGAACUGCCCUCAAUACUACCAGUCUCGAGUUCGGGAGAGGUGAGUGGAAUUCCUAGUGUAGAGGUGAAAUUCGUAGAUAUUAGGAAGAACACCAGUGGCGAAGGCGGCUCACUGGCCCGAUACUGACGCUGAGGUGCGAAAGCGUGGGGAGCAAACAGGAUUAGAUA
rnacentral:rRNA from 1 species